rnacentral:sRNA from 1 species
UAAAAUGGUGUUAAACGCAUUCAAUAUUUAAAUAAUUAUAAAUAUAUUUUUAAUUAAUAGUGCUAUUUAUAAUUAGGUAAAUAUCCUAAAAGUGAUAUUUUAAUAUAAUUUCAGAAGUCACAAAGUAAAUCUGUAAGAUUUACAUGAUUUAAUUCAAACCAAAAACAUCAUGUUAAUUGGAACCAAUUUAAUUUGUUGCUGUAUAGUUAGCCCUUGUUUGGAAAGUCUAAUUUUGAUAAUUUCUUUAACUUACACAUUUAAUAUCGAAACUACUUUUUUAGGCAAGCCAAUUAUACUUCUCGGUGCAAAAUUCUUGAAAUCUGUAUUUUAUUAAAAAGUAAAAUUGUGUUUAACUGAUACGUUCUUUAUCUCACUCCCCACCAUCACUUUUUAGAUCAUUGUAAUGGCCUGCCGAGAAUUUGAGAUGGGAAGGAAAAAAUGUGAGCGCUAUUGGCCUUUGUAUGGAGAAGACCCCAUAACGUUUGCACCAUUUAAAAUUUCUUGUGUAAGUAUCCAUUUUUGUAAACACUUUUUUCAGAAAAUUGGCAUGCUAUACUGAUGAAUAAUUAAAUUAUAAUGUGGUAUGGACCCAGGUUUAUAGACGCCAAGGACUCACAAACCUAUGCUUAC